AGUAGAGAAAGGCAAGCUUAUCGUGAGAUAAGAACGCAAAGCUUCUAAUCUUGAAAGAAAUAGUGGCGUUACCAAA
rnacentral:ncRNA from 1 species